GAUGAACGCUGGCGGCGUGCCUAAUACAUGCAAGUCGAGCGAACAGACGAGGAGCUUGCUCCUCUUACGUUAGCGUCGGACGGGUGAGUAACACGUGGAUAACCUACCUAUAAGACUGGGAUAACUUCGGGAAACCGGAGCUAAUACCGGAUAAUAUAUUGAACCGCAUGGUUCAAUAGUGAAAGACGGUUUUGCUGUCACUUAUCGAUGGAUCCGCGCCGCAUUAGCUAGUUGGUAAGGUAACGGCUUACCAAGGCAACGAUGCGUAGCCGACCUGAGAGGGUGAUCGGCCACACUGGAACUGAGACACGGUCCAGACUCCUACGGGAGGCAGCAGUAGGGAAUCUUCCGCAAUGGGCGAAAGCUUGACGGAGCAACGCCGCGUGAGUGAUGAAGGUCUUCGGAUCGUAAAACUCUGUUAGUAGGGAAGAACAAAUGUGUAAGUAACUAUGCACGUCUUGACGGUACCUAAUCAGAAAGCCACGGCUAACUACGUG
rnacentral:rRNA from 1 species